GCGAAAUUUCUCUAUUCAGAUUCAUUCAUCAACAAUGAAAGAUCGAGAUGGCUUCUUCACCGGAAAUCAUCAGACUUGUUUCAUGAUCGAGGAGAUCUGUUUUGGAUGAGUUUUUUGUUUGUGUUAAAGAAGAUCGAGAAAACAACAGUGAAAUAUCAAGAAGACUUCAUCACCGGAAAUGAUGAAUAGAAGACAGGAAGAAAUGGGUUUCUGCAGGUUUUGUUGGUGUGGAUAUGUGCAGAAGAUUCAGAAAUGGAGUUGGUGGUUCUGGAUUCGUCAUUGUUUUACCCUAUUCUCCAACUAACAUUUCUGGUUUUUCAUCUAUCCAUCCUUAACAAGCUACUGUUCUGAUUUUGUUUUAUCCUCUAAAUUAAUAAUAAUAAUAAUAUUAUUAGUAGGCGCCCCUUGUUUGAUAGGGGUGGUCCAUUUGGAAAUCAAAUCAUGCAUAAAGAAGAAUCAAAUCAAAUGUGAGAAAAACGUUAUGUUAAAAUGGUGGCGAUGAAUUUCAAAGAGGAGAUGAUUAGUAAUAGUUUUCUGAAGAACAAGGAUGUCUGAUUUGGUUGCUCGUAAUGGUCGACAUCAGCAGCGUUACCAGGAUGGUUGUCGCCUUGUCGUUGGGUGUAUUCCUUUUAAGUACAGAGAAGAUAACAGUAGAGAUUCCAAUAGUAAAAAAAAUGUUGAGGUUCUCAUGAUCAACUCCUCAAGUGGGCUAGGACUUUUGUUUCCAAAGGUAACUUUUCCCACUUUUAGUUGGAGGAGGUGAUGGUGGUGCAGGUGCAGGUUUUAGAAGAGGAUUAUGGAGCUGCUGGUGGUGAUGGUGGUGGUAUUGGAGAUGGAAGAAGAGUAACUGGUGGAGGAAUAUGUAUCAGAUGGGUGUGGCAGGUUGUAGCAUAAUGAUUUAUUCCAUUUUGUGAGUAUAUAUGGUCAUGUUCUUCAGAAGGAGUAAUGAGAUUUUCAGCCUUUUCAGUUCUUUCAUUUUUCCGCAACCAUUAUUUGCUUCAGAUGUGUUAAUAUAUUGAAAUCUAGAAAGACAAAAAAGGAAAGAAACAUUUCUAUUAUAUGAUAUGGUGUAUUAUUUUU